AUAGAGGCGUUUUCCGUGCCGGACCGUGUCCAAGUUCCUUGGAACAGGAUAUCAAAGAGGGUGACAAUCCCGUACUUGACACGACGACCGGUGCUCUGUGAUACGUCUUCUACGAGUCGAGUUGUUUGGGAAUGCAGCUCAAAAUGGGUGGUGAGUUCCAUCUAAAGCUAAAUAUUGGCGAGAGACCGAUAGCGAACAAGUACCGUGAGGGAAAGAUGAAAAGCACUUUGGAAAGAGAGUUAAACAGUACGUGAAAUUGUUGAAAGGGAAACGAUUGAAGUCAGUCGUGACCGAGAGGCUCAGCCGGUUCUGCCGGUGUAUUCCCCUCGGUCGGGUCAACAUCAGUUUUGUCCGGUGGAUAAGGGCGGUAGGAAGGUGGCACCCUCGGGUGUGUUAUAGCCUGCCGUCGCAUACAUCGGGUGAGACUGAGGAACGCAGCUCGCCUUUAUGGCCGGGGUUCGCCCACGUCCGAGCUUAGGAUGUUGACAUAAUGGCUUUAAACGACCCGUCUUGAA
rnacentral:rRNA from 1 species